AUGGAGAGUGGAGCAGGAAAGCACUGGACUGAGGAGGAGGUUAAAGCUUUGCUAAGUGUCUGGGCAGAAAAAAAUAUACGAAAACAACUUUAUGGAACACUAAGAAAUAAAGGAAUAUUUAUUUACAUUGCUAAAAGGCUGCAAUCAUUAGGAGUAUACAGAGACUGGAAACAGUGCUGGGCUAAGUACAAAAAUCUCAAAUAUGAAUAUAGAACAGUUAAAUAUGCCCAUAACUCUGGAGACAGCUCUAAAACUAUGAAGUUCUUCCAUGAUUUGGAUGUAAUCCUGCAGUAUGAACCUGCCACACAAUUUACAGAGGAAGAUGCAAAUGGCAGGUACCUGGAAACGCUCAGCCCAAGUACAGCCCCAGAGACCACUGAAGGUAAAAAAAAAAAAAAAAAAAAAAAAAAAAAGAAAAGUACUCUUGUUUUUCUUUUGUUUUACAGUUUU
rnacentral:lncRNA from 1 species